GACGAACGCUGGCGGCGUGCCUAAUACAUGCAAGUAGAACGCUGCAGGAGGAGCUUGCUUCUCUGGAUGAGUUGCGAACGGGUAAGUAACGCGUAGGUAACCUGCCUGGUAGCGGGGGAUAACUAUUGGAAACGAUAGCUAAUACCGCAUAAUAGUAGAUGUUGCAUGACAUUUACUUAAAAGGUGCAAUUGCAUCACUACCAGAUGGACCUGCGUUGUAUUAGCUAGUUGGUGGGGUAACGGCUCACCAAGGCGACGAUACAUAGCCGACCUGAGAGGGUGAUCGGCCACACUGGGACGGAGACACGGCCCAGACUACUACGGGAGGCAGCAGUAGGGGAUCUUCGGCAAUGGACGAAAGUCUGACCGAGCAACGCCGCGUGAGUGAAGAAGGUUUUCGGAUCGUAAAGCUCUGUUGUAAGAGAAGAACGAGUGUGAGAGUGGAAAGUUCACACUGUGACGGUAUCUUAACAGAAAGGGCCGGCUAACUACGUG
rnacentral:rRNA from 1 species